rnacentral:lncRNA from 1 species
CGAUAUGUAGUCAAGGAUACUCCUGCUACACAAGUAACGCAGAAAGCAUUUGAAUCGGUGUAUGCAGCGGACAAGAUCAAGUUGUGGGGUCAUCCGCCAGAAGAUGAUUUUCCAGAAGUCUGUGAGGAAGACAACAGCGAAAUCAACGGGGAUUGAACCAGCCACGAAGGAACAAGGAUGCUAAAAGGUGUUGGAGAGUUCAACAUAAUUAAACGAUUAAUUUGUUAUCGAUCUGUUUUGAAUUUAAUAAAAAAAACUGUUUUUGUUCAAAA